rnacentral:misc_RNA from 1 species
AAUUCGAAGGUGUUGUGUUUUCAGAUAAUUCGAAUUGAUUCUUCAAGCUUACUUUAAAAGUAAUAGUCUAAAAGUAUGUGUUUAGAUAAAUAGAUAUACGAUGCAGAGGGUGAAGUAUCCUUGUAACGCACAAUGAUAAGCACUGUGUAUUGUGCAUUUUUUCUCCUCGGUUGCUGCCUGGUUACCUACACAGACAGCAAAUGUACUAAUAUAAAAAACGGAUGUGUUGUCAAGGAUUACGAUCAAGAUGAAGUCGAUGAUAUUUGCGGGUCAGCAAAUUAUCCUAUCGUCGAUGAUCUUUCCUGUGGGCAAUAUUUUGACUGUUCUCCCAUCUUAACCAGCACACUUAAGUCAUGCCCACCAGGACACAGGGCCGUUGUCUCUUCCUCGACCAAAUCGAAUAGAUGCCAAGUAGAUCAAAAUUGUAGGCCAUCCAUUAUUAGGAAUCGACGGGCUAUCGCUGACGGCCCUCCGGGCACGGGAGGUCCACCAGGUACAGGAGGUCCUCCAGCUACAGGAGGUCCACCUGGUUCAGGAGGUCCACCAGGUACAGGAGGUCCGCCAGGCACAGAAGGUCC